UACCAGACUCCUACGGGAGGCAGCAGUAGGGGAUAUUGCUCAAUGGGGGAAACCCUGAAGCAGCAACGCCGCGUGGAGGAUGAAGGGUUUCGGAUUGUAAACUCCUUUUGUUAGAGAAGAUAAUGACGGUAUCUAACGAAUAAGCACCGGCUAACUCCGUGCCAGCAGCCGCGGUAAUACGGAGGGUGCAAGCGUUACUCGGAAUCACUGGGCGUAAAGAGCGCGUAGGCGGGAGAGCAAGUCAGAUGUGAUAUCCUAUGGGUUAACCAUAGAACUGCAUUUGAAGCUGUUAUUCUAGAGUAUGGGAGGGGGAGGUGGAAGUCUUGGUGUAGGGGUAAA
rnacentral:rRNA from 1 species